rnacentral:rRNA from 1 species
GGAAUUGCUAGUAAUGGCAGGUCAGCAUACUGCCGUGAAUACGUUCCCGGGCCUUGUACACACCGCCCGUCACACCAUGAGAGUUAGGAAUACCCGAAGCCUGUGAGCCAACUUUUCAAGAGGCAGCAGUCGAAGGUAGAACUAAUGAUUGGGGUGAAGUCGUAACAAGGUACC